rnacentral:rRNA from 1 species
CCUACGGGAGGCAGCAGUAGGGAAUUUUCGGCAAUGGGGGAAACCCUGACCGAGCAACGCCGCGUGAACGAAGAAGGUAUUCGUAAUGUAAAGUUCUUUUGACAGGGAAGAAAGAUAAAUUUGACGAUACCUGCAGAAUAAACUCCGGCUAACUACGUGCCAGCAGCCGAGGUAAUACGUAGGGCGCGAGCGUUAUCCGGAAUUAUGGGGCGAAAGGGGUGCCUAGAUGGCAUAGUAAGUCUUUUGGAAAAAUGCUGGGCUAAACCCAGUAGGGCAAAAGAUACUGUAAAGCUAGAGUAUGAAAGAGGCAAGUGGAACUACAUGUGUAGCGGUAAAAUGCGUAAAUAUAUGUAAGAACACCAGUGGCGAAGGCGGCUCGCUGGGUCGAUACUGACAUUGAGGCACGAAAGCGUGGGGAGCAAACAGGAUUAGAUACCCCGGUAGUC